GGGGCUGAUUUGGCUUCGACAGGAGCUAGAUAGCUUGAAUAGCACGCCGGAUGGCAUUCCGUAAUCCUGCCAAGUUUAAAAUUAAACGCAAACAACAAAAAUUUUGCUCCAGCUUACGCAGCAGCGUAAGUCUCACAACUCUUCGGAGCCGAUUAGUUGAGCCAUACUAGCCAACUCUUCUAGUCGUCAUACCUGCUAGUUGCUUUUGUGCCAAGUCUAGGGGUACAAACUAAGACAAUAGACUGCAAUAUAGAGAGUUUUGGGGGUUGUGGCUCUAUAUCCAAGACACACAACCCUGUCUAAGCGUGUAGAAGUUCAAGUGGGUUUGGCUUUUGGACUGGGGUUCGAUCCCCCACAGCUCCACCA
rnacentral:tmRNA from 1 species